rnacentral:rRNA from 1 species
UACGGGGGGAGCAAGCGUUGUUCGGAUUUACUGGGCGUAAAGGGCGCGUAGGCGGUCAGCACAAGUCAGUUGUGAAAUCUCCGAGCUUAACUCGGAAAGGUCAACUGAUACUGUGCGACUAGAGUGCAGAAGGGCAACUGGAAUUCUCGGUGUAGCGGUGAAAUGCGUAGAUAUGCGGAGGAACACCGAUGGCGAAGGCAAUCCCCUGGGCCUGCACUGACGCUCAUGCACG